CCUACGUGAGGCAGCAGUGGGGAAUAUUGCACAAUGGGGGAAACCCUGAUGCAGCGACGCCGCGUGAGCGAUGAAGUAUUUCGGUAUGUAACGCUCUAUCAGCAGGGAAGCAAAUGACGGUACCUGACUCAGAAGCCCCGGCUAACUACGUGCCAGCAGCAGCGGGAAGACGGAGGGGGCAAGCGUUAUCCGGAUGUACUGGGUGUAAAGGGAGCGUAGACGGCGGUGCAAGCCAGAUGUGAAAGCCCGGGGCGCAACCCCGGGACUGCAUUUGGAACUGUGCUGCUAGAGUGUCGGAGAGGCAGGCGGAAUUCCUAGUGUAGCGGUGAAAUGCGUAGAUAUUAGGAGGAACACCAGUGGCGAAGGCGGCCUGCUGGACGAUGACUGACGUUGAAGCUCGAAAGCGUGGGGAGCAAACAGGAUUAGAUACCCUUGUAGUC
rnacentral:rRNA from 1 species